rnacentral:misc_RNA from 1 species
GGGAUGUAGGUGGGGUACAUGUAGGUCAUGAUGCAGCCGUUGGGGACCGGCUUGAGUAGGGCGUAGAGCGCGGUGAGGCCGACGGCGGCGAAGAGGACGACCAGGGCGAUGACCCGGCACUUCGCCUUGAACCCCCGCAUGGGAUCGAGAUCUGGGGACAGGAUCCAGCGAUCUGGAGCUCGUUGAGAGGAUUGAGAAGAUGCGGCGGCGAAGGGGAAUUGGGGAGGAGCGCGACGGAGUUGGC